rnacentral:rRNA from 1 species
CUUAGAGUUUGAUCCUGGCUCAGGAUGAUCGCUGGCGGUAUGCUUAACACAUGCAAGUCGAACGGUGUCUUCGGACAUAGUGGCGGACGGGUGAGUAACGCGUGAGAAUCUAGCUUCAGGUCUGGGACAACCACUGGAAACGGUGGCUAAUACCGGAUGUGCCGGAAGGUGAAAGGCUUGCUGCCUGAAGAUGAGCUCGCGUCCGACUAGCUAGUAGGUGGGGUAAGAGCCUACCUAGGCGACGAUCGGUAGCUGGUCUGAGAGGAUGACCAGCCACACUGGGACUGAGACACGGCCCAGACUCCUACGGGAGGCAGCAGUGGGGAAUUUUCCGCAAUGGGCGAAAGCCUGACGGAGCAAUACCGCGUGAGGGAGGAAGGCUCUUGGGUUGUAAACCUCUUUUCUCAGGGAAGAACACAAUGACGGUACCUGAGGAAUCAGCAUCGGCUAACUCCGUGCCAGCAGCCGCGGUAAUACGGAGGAUGCAAGCGUUAUCCGGAAUGAUUGGGCGUAAAGCGUCCGCAGGUGGCUGUGUAAGUCUGCUGUCAAAGAGCAAAGCUCAACUUUGUAAAGGCAGUGGAAACUACACGGCUAGAGUGCGUUCGGGGCAGAGGGAAUUCCUGGUGUAGCGGUGAAAUGCGUAGAGAUCAGGAAGAACACCGGUGGCGAAGGCGCUCUGCUAGGCCGCAACUGACACUGAGGGACGAAAGCUAGGGGAGCGAAUGGGAUUAGAUACCCCAGUAGUCCUAGCUGUAAACGAUGG